AAUUAGGUAAGCUAUUAUAAAAUGUUUGAAAUAACCACUUAGGCUAAAAACAUGAAAAUAUUUAAUUAACCACCUAUUAUCACUGAUGAUGUCAAAUCGCAUUUCUUUAGCCACGCUAAAAAAAAAAAAAUGUAGCCACGCCAAUAAAUUCAGUGGCACGGUGCACAUUAAGCUUUAGGUAUACGUUUCCGAAAUGCUUCAUGAGAUUCACCUGCUGCGGUUACGAUUCUUCAUUUGUACAUUGCAUAUUUAACACAGUGCCCCUGGUAAUACGAAUGACAGACAACUUCCCAAAAAUGGCUCGGAAUAGCCACGGUGGGAUUCAUGCGGACAGCCAAGCUUGGUGUUUACUUUGGACCAUUCGCUCCUGGCGUUCCGUGCCCUCUAGCUAUUUUCCCUCAUCUUUUCCAUUGUUUCCAAAAGCUUUGCCAAGAAGUUGUUUGUGAAGUCCGAGAAGCCACUACGAAGGGUCGAGGUUUCUGGUGUCAUUGACCGGUGUAUUUUUUGCAGAUGUCACGGUUGCUUUACUGAAGUCUGGUAUCGAUUAGUCACAGUGAAUAUUACCCUACACUCCGAGCUCGCACUCCGCAGCAGCUGUUGGGAUGUCAGAAAUAUAAAUCACGACUGCAGUCCCCGAUGGAUGGGCGGGGGUGUGUGGUGGAGGAUCUCGUUCGUGGAACUAGGAAGGGACAUCCUGAAGAAACGGCCGAGUCACGGCUGCGCUGUUUGGAAACAGAUGAAAUAGCGAAGUGUUGUCCUAAUGCAAAUAGGAAGUCACGUGUGCAAGAUGGUAUCUGAAGUCAGAAACUCGUUUGGGAACGGUUUGUAUUAAGGACGUGACUAAUAAGUGUUCUACAGAAAGGUUGGUGUGUCUCUAGUAGAUUAAUUUGUUUAUGCAAACAUGUAUUACUGGAAUGGUGACUCCAUUCUCCCUAAAUGCACGGACCAAUCCUUUUGUCCUCCAGCGUUAACAUGGUGUACGUUAAAGCUUGCUUCAGGGCGGUGGCCACAUGUGAAAUGGCCAAAGCCGUCUUUGUUCAAUCUGAGAAUGUGCCAGAAUUUCCUUUACCAGUAAGCCAUUGUUCAUUGCCUGUAAAGACUAUCAUGUUGGUUUAUAUUCCUAGAAAGAAUAGUGCAAUUCCACAAUAAUGUUUGAUGAAUUAAAAAAAAAACGAAAAACAAUGAUUUCCGAGACAAUUUAACUGCGAAAGCUGCAUUGCAAAAUUAGAUUAUUGUUUUAAUAUGUGUUUAGGAUCAUAUUAUGGGCUCAGUUGUCCUUUGUGUAUACACAUCAUCAUAUUACAUUAUAUAUAUAUAUAUAUAUAUAUAUAUUUACAGAACUUUCAACCUAUGGAAACUUAAAUUGCUUUCUUAUUACAUAUUGUAAAUGAUAUGACUGUAGAGUUACAGGUAAGUACCACAUGAGGAACCAAGUCAAGAUAUUACAGAAGUGCUUCGCUGGGGCUGACACCACUUUUUUUUUUCUCGCCAAGCUCAAUUCCGUCACUUUUAUGUCUAAAAAACUGAAUAGAAAACAUAACGUCCUCGUUUUUAAAACAGAGAGUGCACAUCCAAUUCAAGAAAAAAAGCACUAUGCUUCAAAUACUUCAAUGGGAAAUUUUCAUGACUAAAUGAAGGAUUAGACAAGAUAAAAUAAGAUUUAUUUUUAUUUUUCCUGAAGGAGCUUCAGUUGUGAAUCCGACUGUGUCCCCCCUAACUAAUAAUAGCAUUUGUAGUAAAACCACAAAUAAUAUUUUGUAAUUUAUGCACAAUUAUUGUAAAUAUGUGGCUUAAAUUGCAUCCAUUUUGAAACUUAAUUUUUUGACAGAUGUUUCUGGCCUGUAUAGGACACACAUCAAAAAGAAGGAUCAAGAAGUCAAGUCACCAUGGAAACAGCCUUGCUCUCCAGCUCAGGUGUCGGCAUGUGCCACGUCCAGGUCGUGCCAAAGUCCACCUCCCUGCCUCACCAGCAGCCAGUGAGAGCCCUGCAUUGGCCUGGAGCUUCACCAGAUUUGAGCCACUGCACAACUGCUGCUUAACCAUAGAUUUCCUGCAGGAAGUCUUGUAUCAGGGGUGAAAUGGAGCUAGACGAGCACUUCCAGCCCCUCUCACUUCGACACCUGAGAUGAAGAAUGGACCACAUGUGCGCUCCCAUUGUUUGCAAGAGAUGAAAAGGCUAACUUAAACAUCUCCUGAGUACAGAAGAAGGAUGUCACAAUGCAAGAAGUCACUUGGUAAAUCAAGGUGGCUCCAUCUUUCAUUUUCCUUCCUUUUUUAUUCCAAAAUGCCUAGUGCCUCACGCAUUUUUUUUUUUGGUUGUUUUUCCUUAGUUUCCAGAAUCUGGAGUUGGUUUUUAAGCAGUAUUCCCAGCUGAACCUUCACUUAAUUUAGUAUAAUUUGUUCUGGGCAUAAACCGCUGACCUCACUUGCAACCUCAUUCAUUUGCUGCACUCCUGAGGAAUGCAACUCAAAGUCUUAAAAAGUGUGAAAUGGUUCAGUGUUUUUUUUACCCCCCCAAACCUCUGUCACAAGAGAAAAAAUUCUAAUGAUUACACGCAAUUGCCAUUCUGCAGCGUCUUGUGUUGUUUUUAAUGCACAACUGAACAAAUAUUGGGACAAUUCAAUGUUUGAUUUCCUAUAAUUAUUUUAACUUGAAAAUAUACACAUUUGGGCCAACCUUAAAUUGCAUUUGCAGAACACAGCUUUCGGACUAAAGAAAUAAUGCUUUGUAUCUGUGUUUUUAUAAUAAAAAGGCACAAUUGCCUUGCGGUGUGACUCUCUGGACACAGUACAGAGACAGACAACUUAAUUGUAUGCUCUACAUUAAAUAAAUGCCUC